rnacentral:tRNA from 1 species
GUCCAGGGAUGGGAAUUGAACCCACAGUGUUCCGCUUACCGGGCAGAUGCCAUGUCCACUGGACAUACCCUGGA